rnacentral:rRNA from 1 species
CGAUGAUCUCCCGCUUGCGGGGGUGAUUAGUGGCGAACGGGUGAGUAAUACGUGAGUAACCUGCCCUUGACUCUGGGAUAAGCCUGGGAAACCGGGUCUAAUACUGGAUACGACCUCCUGUCGCAUGGUGGGGGGUGGAAAGGGUUUGACUGGUUUUGGAUGGGCUCACGGCCUAUCAGCUUGUUGGUGGGGUAAUGGCUCACCAAGGCGACGACGGGUAGCCGGCCUGAGAGGGUGACCGGCCACACUGGGACUGAGACACGGCCCAGACUCCUACGGGAGGCAGCAGUGGGGAAUAUUGCACAAUGGGCGCAAGCCUGAUGCAGCGACGCCGCGUGAGGGAUGACGGCCUUCGGGUUGUAAACCUCUUUCAGCAGGGAAGAAGCCACAAGUGACGGUACCUGCAGAAGAAGCGCCGGCUAACUACGUGCCAGCAGCCGCGGUAAUACGUAGGGCGCAAGCGUUGUCCGGAAUUAUUGGGCGUAAAGAGCUCGUAGGCGGUUUGUCGCGUCUGCUGUGAAAGCCCGGGGCUCAACCCCGGGUCUGCAGUGGGUACGGGCAGACUAGAGUGCAGUAGGGGAGACUGGAAUUCCUGGUGUAGCGGUGAAAUGCGCAGAUAUCAGGAGGAACACCGAUGGCGAAGGCAGGUCUCUGGGCUGUUACUGACGCUGAGGAGCGAAAGCAUGGGGAGCGAACAGGAUUAGAUACCCUGGUAGUCCAUGCCGUAAACGUUGGGCACUAGGUGUGGGGGACAUUCCACGUUCUCCGCGCCGUAGCUAACGCAUUAAGUGCCCCGCCUGGGGAGUAC